AUGACUUGGGCAGUACAUUUACCUAGCCUACUCCCUGACUGUUUAAAUGACUUGGGUGUGUCAGGGUUAAUUAAUGCCAGAAGUUGUUCCUUGGAGCUUCAGCACAAGUACUUCUUUGUAGUCAAGAUUCUAUGCUUGGUCUUCUUGGUUUUAUAUCCAAUUCAAAAAUCCGUUCACUUCCCUAGAUCAGUGAUAGAGGCAGUGGCGGAGCGUGACAAGCAACCAAGAGGAACCAAGAGGAAAAAUAUGUAUGAAAAGUUGAAAACAGUCCAUCAGCUGUUUGGCUACAAUUCAUUGUUCAGAGGUCCAGCAUCUCGUUGUGUUGGGCCAUGCACAUGCAGCAGCACGAGAAGGGAAGCGACAGUGGUGGUGCGCAGAUGCAGCAGCAAGCUGCUGGUGAUGAUCGGUGGCGCAUAA
rnacentral:rRNA from 1 species